GUAAUGCCGGAUGCUCCAUCACACCGCAUGGUGUGUUGGGAAAGCCUUUGCGGCAUGGGAUGGGGUCGCGUCCUAUCAGCUUGAUGGCGGGGUAACGGCCCACCAUGGCUUCGACGGGUAGCCGGCCUGAGAGGGCGACCGGCCACAUUGGGACUGAGAUACGGCCCAGACUCCUACGGGAGGCAGCAGUGGGGAAUAUUGCACAAUGGGCGCAAGCCUGAUGCAGCGACGCCGCGUGAGGGAUGGAGGCCUUCGGGUUGUAAACCUCUUUUGUUAGGGAGCAAGGCAUUUUGUGUUGAGUGUACCUUUCGAAUAAGCACCGGCUAACUACGUGCCAGCAGCCGCGGUAAUACGUAGGGUGCAAGCGUUAUCCGGAAUUAUUGGGCGUAAAGGGCUCGUAGGCGGUUCGUCGCGUCCGGUGUGAAAGUCCAUCGCUUAACGGUGGAUCCGCGCCGGGUACGGGCGGGCUUGAGUGCGGUAGGGGAGACUGGAAUUCCCGGUGUAACGGUGGAAUGUGUAGAUAUCGGAAAAGA
rnacentral:rRNA from 1 species